rnacentral:rRNA from 1 species
CCUACGGGAGGCAGCAGCAAGGAAUUUUCGGCAAUGGGCGCAAGCCUGACCGAGCAACGCCGCGUGGAGGACGACGGCCUUCGGGUUGUAAACUCCUUUUGGGGGGGAAGACAACGACGGUACCCCCCGAACAAGGCUCGGCUAACUCUGUGCCAGCAGCCGCGGUAAGACAGAGGAGCCAAGCGUUGUCCGGAUUGACUGGGCGUAAAGCGCACGCAGGCGGUCGUGCACGUGGGGUGUGAAAGCGGCCGGCUUAACUGGCCGAGGCCAUCCCAUACGGCGCGACUGGAGCCAUGCAGAGGUCGGUGGAAUUGCCGGUGUAGUGGUGAAAUGCGUAGAGAUCGGCAGGAACACCCAGGGGGAAACCAGCCGACUGGGCAUGGGCUGACGCUCAGGUGCGAGAGCGUGGGGAGCGAACCGGAUUAGAUACCCUAGUAGUC